rnacentral:rRNA from 1 species
GACGAACGCUGGCGGCGUGCUUAACACAUGCAAGUCGAACGGGUCUGCCCUGUUUUUUGCGGGGUGGGUCAGUGGCGAACGGGUGAGUAACACGUGAGUAACCUGCCCCUCACUUCUGGAUAACCGCUUGAAAGGGUGGCUAAUACGGGGUGUUCUGGCUGUGCCGCAUGGUGUGGCUGGGAAAGAUUCACUUUUGUGGUGUUUUGGUGGGGGAUGGGCUCGCGGCCUAUCAGCUUGUUGGUGGGGUGAUGGCCUGCCAAGGCUUUGACGGGUAGCCGGCCUGAGAGGGUGGGCGGUCACACUGGGACUAAGAUACGGCCCAGACUCCUGCGGGAGGCAGCAGUGGGGGGUAUUGCACAAUGGGCGGAAGCCUGAUGCAGCGACGUCGCGUGAGGGAUGGAGGCCUUCGGGUUGUGAACCUCUUUCGCCGGUGAAGAAGGUCCUGCUCUUUGGGGUGGGGUUGACGGUAGCCGGGUUAUGAAGCGCCGGCUAACUACGUG